GUCCUUUUGAAUUUAAUUUAAGGUCUGACCUGCCCACUGAAUUUUUGAAGGGCCGCAGUAUUUUGACUGUGCAAAGGUAGCAUAAUCAUUAGUUUUUUAAUUAAAAGCUUGUAUGAAGGGUUGGACGAGGUAAAUUCUGUCUCUAUUUAAUUUAAUUUAGAAUUUAAUUUUUAAGUCAAAAAGCUUAAAUAUUAUUAAAAGACGAGAAGACCCUAUAGAUCUUUAUAUUAAAUUAAUUAAUUUUAUUUAAGAAUUAUUUAUUUUUUAAUAAAUUUAAUAUUUUAUUGGGGUAAUAAAAAGAUUAAUUUAAUUCUUUUUUUAUUUUUACAUUAAUAUAUGAUUAUAUGAUCCAAUUUUAUUGAUUAAAAGAUUAAGUUACCUUAGGGAUAACAGCGUAAUUUUUUUAAAGAGUUCAUAUCGAUAAAAAAGUUUGAGACC
rnacentral:rRNA from 1 species